rnacentral:lncRNA from 1 species
GCCUUAGUGAAAUUUGAAAGAGUGGAGGCAUCUGUGUGCUUCCUUUUAUAAUUGGCACACUUCAGUGUGAAAGCUAGUUUGCCGCUUUGUAUUUUAUUCAAGACUCUUGUUGACCUCUGUAUAUGCUGCCGUUUGUCACCUGAAGCCACUAACCACCCAGAUUAUUGUUUUAGACCAUCAGUAAAUGGCAACAUCAGUAAUGGCAACAUUACUCCUGUGCAUUGCAUACUUGUUCUAAACAUAAACAGUACAGGAGGCAUUGGUGAACAUAAGUAAAGGCGACUUGGUGCUAGUUUUUUUCUUCUGCUGUGUCCUGGAAACCCACAGCCUGUUGCACAGCACGGCACACAAAUUUGAGCAGUUGCGUGCUCAAAUGGUCUCCAAUGGUCUCCUUCUAGUGAAUGUGGCUUUUGACAUUAUCAUGCUUUGCAGUGAACAUAGCGUCCUAUCAAUUUACCGCCGUAUUCAAGAACGCAACUUAAGUUGAACCCCAUGCUUUACUUGAUCUGGGUGACGCCUGGCGUGAACGUGCCCAGGACACUCAUUGCGUUUCCUCCGGCGCAUUUACGACAGGCAUCUUAUAAAUCAAGUCAAGCAUGGGCUUCAACUUAAGUUGCAUUCUUGAAUACGGGCCUUAGACACAGUUAGACAUGCUUUCUGUGAGCAGUUCAAAGGCUGUGCAGAAUGCACAAUACGUUGAUCAAUAACUGCAAUUGAU